AACUCAUAGCCAAGCGGUAAGGCAGCGGUUUUCGAAUCGUUAUGCGCUGGUUCGAAUCCAGCUGAGUUUU
rnacentral:tRNA from 1 species